CCCGGCUCCCCUGCCCAGACCCGCAGGCGCUGCCCCCAGGAUUGCUGCAGCACGGCAGCUGCUGGUGAGCCUCCGCCUGGAGCGCGAGGUGGGCCCCUAACUGAGGAGGUGUACGUGUUUGAAAGCUUUGCAUGUUGGUCCCUGCAGCCCAUCAGUCGCUCCGUGCUGCACACAGAGAGUAAAGCUGGAAAGGACAAAGAGACCUGAUCUUCACCUUUUACCACCCGUCACUUAUUCCUGAAUGAUGGACCCAGCUCCUUCCCAGCCGGCCUCACACCACAGCUUUCUUCAGUUCUGAUGUGGCCUCAGCCUACAGCAGAGACUACAUUUUAUUUUCUGCACUAUGAGCUUAUCAAGCACUGCAGGGUUUUCAUUUGCUUCGGGCUUUUUUGCAAACCCACAUUUCUUCAGCUGAGCCUCUGAUUUUGUGGGAGACCCCACAGGAGAGGUGAAACUCUGUGUUCCUUUUCAGCUGUAUUCAGUGGACGUUGCAUUAGGACACAGUGGAUCCUGGGAGCUCUGCAUGAGUGGGAUUAAGAGUAGCAAGAUCUGUUAGGAAG
ensembl:lncRNA